AACGAACGCUGGCGGCAGGCUUAACACAUGCAAGUCGAACGGGUGUAGCAAUACAUCAGUGGCAGACGGGUGAGUAACACGUGGGAACCUUCCUAGGGGUACGGAACAACUCAGGGAAACUUGAGCUAAUACCGUAUACGUCCGUGAGGAGAAAGAUUUAUCGCCCUUAGACGGGCCCGCGUCGGAUUAGGGAGUUGGUGGGGUAACGGCCUACCAAGCCUACGAUCCGUAGCUGAUCUUAGAGGAUGAUCAGCCACACUGGGACUGAGACACGGCCCAGACUUCUACGGGAGGCAGCAGUGGGGAAUCUUGGACAAUGGGCGCAAGCCUGAUCCAGCCAUGCCGCGUGAGUGAAGAAGGCCUUAGGGUUGUAAAGCUCUUUUACCAGGGACGAUAAUGACGGUACCCGGAGAAGAAGCCCCGGCUAACUUCGUGCCAGCCGCCGCCGUAAUAC
rnacentral:rRNA from 1 species